GUAGUGUAUGAAAGGAGGGAAGGUUAGCACUCCCCUUGACAAAGAUGGAAGAGGCCUUUGGGCCUGACAAUACAUGUGAAAGUAAGGACUAUUUUUAAGAAGGAUCCUAGGCUGAUGAUUUGU
rfam:Fukomys damarensis contig159745, whole genome shotgun sequence.